UUUGAAUUCGACUGGAUUGUUCUAGGGCGGAUUCAAAGAUGCUCGGAUUGGAAUGACACCUCCGGGUCACGGGUUCAGGAAAUUGAGACUCCCCAGAAGUUGUUGGACUACAGCUCCCAUCAGAACCAGCUCACAUGGCCAUUACCCAGGAAUCAUGGGAACUAAAGUCUCAUAGUAUCUGGAAGAUACAUUUUUCAUACUGUGCUGUGUUAUGAAUCCUGGGCUCCCUCAAUGACAAAGAUCAAGAGUUACAACAGAAAGGAAGAUUAUAAAGGCAGGAAGAGAGGAACAACAUCAAAAUCAAUUUGGAAAUGGGAGGACGUGGCAGAGUGAAAGGUGGUUACAGGGGGCUAAGAUGGUUUCCUCAAAACUUUACUUCUUUAGAAACUAUUUUAGCUGUUAUAAAUGUCAUGCCAGCUUAUAGCUGCCUUUGCUGAGGUUAAUGACAGUUGGGGGAAAAAAAGAACUCUCAGACCUUUAUGCAUUUUAUAGAGUUAUUGGCUAGCUAUUGCCAGAACACAACUGAACCCAAGGGAAAGUCAAAUACAAAUAUCUAAAACAUCCAUUUUCUUUUUGAUAGUUAACUGGGCUGUCCUAGUAUAAAUAGCAUCUAGAUCCAGUGGGCAUUUGAUAUUGGUACUUUAAAUUUACAAUAUUGCAAAGUUGUGUCUUCUGCAGUAAUUGAUAAUGGUACUUCAAAGCUGAGAACUGGCCUAUGUCAUUACUUUGUAUUCCAUACAAACCUG